rnacentral:rRNA from 1 species
UACGUAGGGGCAAGCGUUAUCCGGAUUUACUGGGUGUAAAGGGAGCGCAGACGGAACUGCAAGUCUGAUGUGAAAGCCCGGGGCUCAACCGCGGGACUGCAUCGGAUACUGUGGAUCUGGAGUGCCGGAGGGGCAAGCGGAAUUCCUGGUGUAGCGGUGAAAUGCGUAGAUAUCAGGAGGAACACCGGCGGCGAAUGCGGCUUGCUGGACGGCAACUGACGUUGAGGCUCGAAAGCGUGGGGAGCAAACAGGAUUAGAUA